rnacentral:sRNA from 1 species
AGCAUUUCAUGAAUAAGACGUACUCCGCAGUUAGUAGUGACCGUCCUGUUUUUGAUUCCGCGAGUUCUGUAUUUCCGUAAAACGUCGACCUUGCACCACGACGGUGUAUGGCGGCAGAUAUUAUGAUUGAUUUCAGGAAGUUUAAGUAUGUCUACUACUACCGGUACUGUUAAGUUCUUCAACGAAGCAAAAGGCUUUGGCUUUAUCACUCGUGAAGGCGGCCCGGACGUUUUUGUUCACUACAGCGCUAUUCAGGGCAGCGGUUUCAAGACUCUGGCAGAAGGCCAGCAGGUUGAGUUCACCGUUACCCAGGGCCAGAAAGGUCCCCAGGCGGAGAACGUUGUUCCGCUGUAAUCCUUGAUGGAUGCAGGAAUAACCGCCAAAAAGGCAGCUUCGGCUGCCUUUUUUCA